rnacentral:sRNA from 1 species
UAUCGUUCGGUUUCCGUAAUAUUUCUGC